rnacentral:rRNA from 1 species
UAAGGAAUAUUGGACAAUGCCCGCAAGGGUGAUCCAGCCAUGCCGCGUGCAGGAAGACGGCCCUAUGGGUUGUAAACUGCUUUUACACCGGAGAAAACCUCCCCUCGCGAGGGGAGCUGAUAGCAUGGUGAGAAUAAGCAUCGGCUAACUUCGUGCCAGCAGCCGCGGUAAGACGAAGGAUGCAAGCGUUAUCCGGAUUCAUUGGGUUUAAAGGGAGCGUAGGUGGCCUUAUAAGUCAGUGGUGAAAUCUCUGGGCUUAACCCAGAAAUUGCCAUUGAUACUGUAGAACUUGAUUACAGUUGCUGUGGGCGUAAUAUGACAUGUAGUGAUGACAUACAUAGAGAUUUCAUAGAACACCGAUUGCGUAAGCAGCUCACAAACCUGUAACUGACACUGAGGCUCGAAAGUGCGGGGUUCAAACA